AUUGAACGCUGGCGGCAGGCCUAACACAUGCAAGUCGAACGAGUGGCGGACGGGUGAGUAAUGUCUGGGAAACUGCCCGAUGGAGGGGGAUAACUACUGGAAACGGUAGCUAAUACCGCAUACCAUCGGAUGUGCACAGAUGGGAUUAGCUAGUAGGUGGGGGAACGGCUCACCUAUGUGACGAUCCCUAGCUGGUCUGAGAGGAUGACCUGCCCUGCUGUAACAGGGACAUGGUCCAGACUCCUACGGGAGGCAGCAGUGGGGAAAAUUGCACAAUGGGCGCAAGCCUGAUGCAGCCAUGCCGCGUGUAUGAAGAAGGCCUUCGGGUUGUAAAGUACUUUCAGCGAGGAAGCGUUACUCGCAGAAGAAGCACCGGCUAACUCCGUGCCAGCAGCCGCGGUAAUUC
rnacentral:rRNA from 1 species